rnacentral:lncRNA from 1 species
AGCUCUGGAUGUCGGGAUUCUGGGCUCCGUUCUUUUCUCCUCCGGUGUUACUCGAGCGCUGCAUUCACUUUGGAAGGCAAAGAGGGAGAAGUCACAGAAGAAGCAAAUGGCUGCCACAGGUUCCCUCUCUAAGAUCUGCACAGGCUGCUCACUGUGACCCGACUGGAUGCCAGAGAGAGGCACCUGCCAGGACCCCAGACCUAAACUCACUCCCCUUCACAUCUUCACCUCUGACCAUGCCCAAACGGGUGUAGUCAGUGCUAUAGAAAGUUCUGUUUUAAAGCUCCCUGAAGGAGAAUCGAAAGGCCUUGACUGGGGGAUGUUUAAGCCACUUCCUCAGACGGAGACGGCAGUCACAGGGCAUAAGUGUUUCCCAGCCCUUAUGCAGAGUCACAGCUUUACUUCCUUCUUGAGUAAAAGACCCAUGUCACCCCUGACAUUCUCAUUUUAGUGUCAUAACUUAUUUUGGGCCCUCAUUCCAAUGUUGCAUCAGCCUCUGUCUUAGAAUUCUAUUGCUGUAAUAAAACAUCAUAAC